GAAGUCAGAACUUGAAUAACAGCUCUUAAUGGGGCUAGGCCUAAUUGUGGAGCUGCAAUACCAUAAUGACAGUGUUAGCACCCAAAGCUCAGAGAGAAGACCUACCUAUCUCUUUGGCUAAUGGAAACAAAAAAAAGGAGCCGAUAUUGUCUAAAGAACUAAGUUACAAACAACUUUCAAACAAUCAUAACCACAUCAACUUAUAAUAAUACAACCAAAUGGUCAAAGACUACUGCUACACAGAGAAGAUGCAAUCUGGAAAUCAAGGUUUAGCCUGAGGAUUAUUCCACGUAAGGAUAUUAUGUUAUUUGCUGCAAUACAACCUAUAGAAAGGAGUGAAGAAGCUGAGGGCCAUCUGAGCCAUGUUCUGGACCCUUGCUGGAGAGAUGGUGUGGUCAUCUGGAAGAAAGAAGGAGGCUUUAGAAGAUCAUGACGAA
rnacentral:lncRNA from 10 species